rnacentral:rRNA from 1 species
GGCUCAGGACGAACGCGGGCGGCGUGCCUAAUACAUGCAAGUCGAGCGAAUCGGAGGGAGCUUGCUCCCAAAGAUUAGCGGCGGACGGGUGAGUAACACGUGGGCAACCUGCCUGUAAGACUGGGAUAACUUCGGGAAACCGGAGCUAAUACCGGAUAAUCCUUUUCCUCUCAUGAGGAAAAGCUGAAAGACGGUUUCGGCUGUCACUUACAGAUGGGCCCGCGGCGCAUUAGCUAGUUGGUGAGGUAACGGCUCACCAAGGCAACGAUGCGUAGCCGACCUGAGAGGGUGAUCGGCCACACUGGGACUGAGACACGGCCCAGACUCCUACGGGAGGCAGCAGUAGGGAAUCUUCCGCAAUGGACGAAAGUCUGACGGAGCAACGCCGCGUGAGCGAAGAAGGCCUUCGGGUCGUAAAGCUCUGUUGUCAGGGAAGAACAAGUACCGGAGUAACUGCCGGCACCUUGACGGUACCUGACCAGAAAGCCACGGCUAACUACGUGCCAGCAGCCGCGGUAAUACGUAGGUGGCAAGCGUUGUCCGGAAUUAUUGGGCGUAAAGCGCGCGCAGGCGGUCCUUUAAGUCUGAUGUGAAAGCCCACGGCUCAACCGUGGAGGGUCAUUGGAAACUGGGGGACUUGAGUGCAGAAGAGGAGAGUGGAAUUCCACGUGUAGCGGUGAAAUGCGUAGAGAUGUGGAGGAACACCAGUGGCGAAGGCGACUCUCUGGUCUGUAACUGACGCUGAGGCGCGAAAGCGUGGGGAGCGAACAGGAUUAGAUACCCUGGUAGUCCACGCCGUAAACGAUGAGUGCUAAGUGUUAGAGGGUUUCCGCCCUUUAGUGCUGCAGCAAACGCAUUAAGCACUCC